GACGAACGCUGGCGGCGUGCUUAACACAUGCCAGUCGAACGGAAAGGCCCCUUUGGGGGUACUCGAGUGGCGAACGGGUGAGUAACACGUGAGUAACCUGCCCUUGACUUCGGGAUAACUUCAGGAAACUGGGGCUAAUACCGGAUAGGAAUCCUUGCUGCAUGGUGGGGGUUGGAAAGCUUCGGCGGUUUUGGAUGGACUCGCGGCUUAUCAGCUUGUUGGUGGGGUAGUGGCUUACCAAGGCUUUGACGGGUAGCCGGCCUGAGAGGGCGACCGGCCACAUUGGGACUGAGAUACGGCCCAGACGCCUACGGGAGGCAGCGGUGGGGAAUAUUGCACAAUGGGCGGAAGCCUGAUGCAGCAACGCCGCGUGCGGGAUGACGGCCUUCGGGUUGUAAACCGCGUUCAGCAGGGGCGAAGCUUGUGGUGACGGUACCUGCAGAAGAAGCACCGGCUAACUACGUG
rnacentral:rRNA from 1 species